GAAUUAUGACAUGUUUAAUGGUUUAUUGAAAAGCUUGUACCAAAUCAAAGGUGUGUAAAAUAUGUCCUAGUUAUAUAGAAGACAAGACACCACAACCAUGACAGAGCAGAAAAUGAAGGGAGCUGAAAUCAACCAUAUAACAUCGUAUCAAUGAGACAUGAAGGAGGUUGCUUUCCAGGGGUGUGAUGUCAGUACAGGGGUGUGAUGUCAGUACAGGGGUGUGAUGUCAGUACAGGGGUGUGAUGUCAGUACAGGGGUGUGAUGUCAGUACAGGGGUGUGAUGUCAGGACAGGGGUUUGAUGUCAGUACAGGGGUGUGAUGUCAGUACAGGGGUGUGAUGUCAGUACAGGGGUGUGAUGUCAGUACAGGGGUGUGAUGUCAGUACAGGGGUGUGAUGUCAGGACAGGGGUGUGAUGUCAGGACAGGGGUGUGAUGUCAGUACAGGGGUAUGAUGUCAGGACAGGGGUGUGAUGUCAGGACAGGGGUGUGAUGUCAGGACAGGGGUUUGAUGUCAGUACAGGGGUGUGAUGUCAGUACAGGGGUGUGAUGUCAGUACAGGGGUGUGAUGUCAGUACAGGGGUGUGAUGUCAGUACAGGGGUGUGAUGUCAGGACAGGGGUGUGAUGUCAGGACAGGGGUGUGAUGUCAGUACAGGGGUAUGAUGUCAGGACAGGGGUGUGAUGUCAGGACAGGGGUGUGAUGUCAGUACAGGGGUGUGAUGUCAGUACAGGGGUGUGAUGUCAGUACAGGGGUGUGAUGGCAGGGGUGUGAUGUCAGUACAGGGGUGUGAUGUCAGGACAGGGGUGUGAUGUCAGGACAGGGGUGUGAUGUCAGGACAGGGGUGUGAUGUCAGGACAGGGGUGUGAAGUCAGUACAGGGGUGUGAUGUCAGUACAGGGGUGUGAUGUCAGUACAGGGGUGUGAUGUCAAUACAGGGGUGUGAUGUCAGUACAGGGGUGUGAUGUCAGUACAGGGGUGUGAUGUCAGGACAGGGGUGUGAUGUCAGUACAGGGGUGUGAUGUCAGUACAGGGGUGUGAUGUCAGUACAGGGGUGUGAUGUCAGUACAGGGGUGGGAUGUCAGUACAGGGGUGUGAUGUCAGGACAGGGGUGUGAUGUCAAUACAGGGGUGUGAUGUCAGGGAAGGGGUGUGAUGUCAGGACAGGGGUGUGAUGUCAGGACAGGGGUGUGAUGUCAGGACAGGGGUGUGAUGUCAGUACAGGGGUGUG